rnacentral:rRNA from 1 species
CGAAGGUAGCAUAAUCAGUAGUCUUUUAAUUGAAGGCUGGUAUGAAUGGUUGGACGAAAUAUUAACUGUUUCAUAAAAAUUUAUAAUAUAAUUUUAUUUUUUAGUCAAAAAGCUAAAAUUUAAUUUAAAGACGAGAAGACCCUAUAAAUCUUUAUAUUUAAAUUAUUACAAUUUUAUAGAUAAAUUUUAUUAUAAUAAUGAAUAAUAUUUUAUUGGGGUGAUAUUAAAAUUUAAUAAACUUUUAAUUAUUAAAAUCAUUAAUUUAUGAAUAAUUGAUCCAUUAUUAGUGAUUAAAAAAUUAAGUUACUUUAGGGAUAACAGCGUAAUUUUUUUGGAGAGUUCAUAUCAAUAAAAAAGAUUGCGACCUCGAUGUUGGAUUAA